rnacentral:rRNA from 1 species
GACGAAGGGGCUAGCGUUGUUCGGAAUUACUGGGCGUAAAGCGCGUGUAGGUGGUUGUCCAAGUUGGAUGUGAAAGCCUUGAGCUCAACUCAAGAAAUGCAUUCAGGACUGGGCGACUAGAGGACCGGAGAGGAUAGUGGAAUUCCCAGUGUAGUGGUGAAAUACGUAGAGAUUGGGAAGAACACCAGUGGCGAAGGCGGCUCACUGGACUGGUAUUGACGCUGAGGUGCGAAAGCGUGGGGAGCAAACAGGA